rnacentral:rRNA from 1 species
GAUGAACGCUGGCGGCGUGCCUAAUACAUGCAAGUCGAGCGAACAGACGAGGAGCUUGCUCCUCUGACGUUAGCGGCGGACGGGUGAGUAACACGUGGAUAACCUACCUAUAAGACUGGGAUAACUUCGGGAAACCGGAGCUAAUACCGGAUAAUAUAUUGAACCGCAUGGUUCAAUAGUGAAAGACGGUUUUGCUGUCACUUAUAGAUGGAUCCGCGCCGCAUUAGCUAGUUGGUAAGGUAACGGCUUACCAAGGCAACGAUGCGUAGCCGACCUGAGAGGGUGAUCGGCCACCCGAGAACUGAGACACGGUCCAGACUCCUACGGGAGGCAGCAGUAGGGAAACUUCCGCAAUGGGCGAAAACCUGACGGAGCAACGCCGCGUGAGUGAUGAAGGUCUUCGGAUCGGAAAACUCUGUUAUUAGGGAAGAACAAAUGUGUAAGUAACUAUGCACGUCUUGACGGUACCUAAUCAGAAAGCCACGGCUAACUACGUG